rnacentral:misc_RNA from 1 species
UACGUAGGGGGCAAGCGUUGUCCGGAAUUAUUGGGCGUAAAGCGCGCGCAGGCGGCUGUUUAAGUCGGAUGUGAAAGACCACGGCUCAACCGUGGGGGUGCAUCCGAAACUGGGCAGCUGGAGUGCAGGAGAGGAGAGUGGAAUUCCCGGUGUAGCGGUGGAAUGCGUAGAGAUCGGGAGGAACACCAGUGGCGAAGGCGGCUCUCUGGCCUGUAACUGACGCUGAGGCGCGAAAGCGUGGGGAGCAAACAGG